GGAGAGGUGUCCGAGCGGCUUAAGGAGCUGGUCCUGAAAACCAGUGAUCUCCCAAACAGAGACCGCGGGUUCGAAUCCCGCCCUCUCCGCCA
rnacentral:tRNA from 1 species